AAUACGGAGGGUGCAAGCGUUACUCGGAAUCACUGGGCGUAAAGGGUGCGUAGGCUGGCUUCUAAGUCAGAUGUGAAAUCCAAUGGCUCAACCAUUGAACUGCAUUUGAAACUGGGAGCCUAGAGUUCAGAAGGGGCAGAUGGAAUUAGUGGUGUAGGGGUAAAAUCCGUAGAUAUCACUAGGAAUAUCAAAAGCGAAGGCGAUCUGCUGGGAUGAUACUGACGCUGAGGCACGAAAGCGUGGGGAGCAAACAGGAUUAGAUACCCUGGUAGUCCACGCCCUAAACGAUGAAUGCUAGUCGUCGGGGAGCUCGUCUCUUCGGUGAUGCACUUAACAGAUUAAGCGUUCCGCCUGGGGAGUACGGUCGCAAGAUUAAAACUC
rnacentral:rRNA from 1 species